ensembl:lncRNA
GAGUUUGGGCACCCCUGCUUUAGAUGUAAUGUGAUAAACUACUUUAAUAUGCAGUGGUGGUCAAGUGACGGGGCGACAGAACACUUUCAUUCACCUCUUAAAAUGUUUGGUGUUUGAAUGUUAACCCAUGCGAAACCAGGGGUAAUGUACUGUAGGAGGUCAUUUUGUUCCAUGUUUCACUGCUGCUCGGUUAAUAAUAUUCAGUGGAUGAAUAUGGCUCCAUAGGCUAUCUGACUGGCAUAGCCUAUGUGACCUGUUUUAAUAACUGCAGGUCUGUUUGAAAAUAUCGCCAAUUUUGAAUGCUAAACAGGGCGAAUGUUUCCACAGCUGUAGAUGGCAUGGAUAUUUACUGAGUGCAGGAGACACAAGGACAUAAUGUGUUUGUGAUGCAGCUGUGUAGGCUGGAUGUUUAAAAUGGGAGCCUUGUACUUUGCAUAACAAACCGUUCACCUCCUGUGACAUACAUAAACACAGGCAUUCCUUAUAAGAAACCUCAAAACAUCAAAUGUCUAAA